UACGUAGGGGGCAAGCGUUGUCCGGAUUUAUUGGGCGUAAAGAGCGUGUAGGCGGCCAUACAGGUCCGUUGUGAAAACUCGAGGCUCAACCUCGAGACGCCGAUGGAAACCGUCUGGCUAGAGUCCGGAAGAGGAGAGUGGAAUUCCUGGUGUAGCGGUGAAAUGCGCAGAUAUCAGGAAGAACACCCGUGGCUAAGGCGGCUCUCUAGUACGGUACUGACGCUGAGACGCGAAAGCGUGGUGAGCGAACAGG
rnacentral:rRNA from 1 species